CAGCCGCCACGGUAAUACGAAGGGUGCAAGCGUUACUCGGAAUUACUGGGCGUAAAGCGUGCGUAGGUGGUGGUUUAAGUCCGUUGUGAAAGCCCUGGGCUCAACCUGGGAAUUGCAGUGGAUACUGGGUCACUAGAGUGUGGUAGAGGAUAGUGGAAUUUCCGGUGUAGCAGUGAAGUGCGUAGAGAUCGGAAGGAACAUCUGUGGCGAAGGCGACUAUCUGGGCCAACACUGACACUGAGGCACGAAAGCGUGGGGAGCAAACAGGAUUAGAUACCCCCGUAGUCCCUGUCUCUUAUAC
rnacentral:rRNA from 1 species